AAGCUUCUCUUUUGAUCCCAUAUAGACUUGCAUUAUCUGGUGUCCCUGAUAAUAAGGUGCACUUGAUUUUACAAUCACUAAUGGCUUCAUCGAAAGCUGCGAGGGGUUGUCCCAUAUAGACGAUAGGGGUAGCUAGUGCGUCUGCCAUAUGGUUCUCAUCUCAUGAAAAGUGUAUUACUUAGAGAAAUUACAAACUAAAGUC
rnacentral:lncRNA from 1 species